CAGAAAUUCUGAGAGGAUUAUAAAAGGAAAAGCAGGACCCCAGGUGAUGGGGCUGUGACAAAGGAGGAAUUUCAGAAGGAGAAAACAGUGGCUCAGAGAUUCAAGCUUAAUAUCCUGCUUUUCAUAAAGUCAAAAUAGCACCAAAACAGAACUCAAAGAACACUGGACUGAACUCCAAAAAAAACCAUACAACUCUUCCCAGACCAUUACCUAUUCACACAGCAGACUUGGUAAGAAGAAAAAAAUGACACACUAUCAAAUUUCCAUUUAUCCUAAAGCACUGUUCAGAUGACAUCAUAACUGUGUCUAACAAAGGGU